rnacentral:rRNA from 1 species
GACGAACGCUGGCGGCGUGCUUAACACAUGCAAGUCGAACGGUGACCCUCGGAGCUUGCUCUGAGGUGAUCAGUGGCGAACGGGUGAGUAACACGUGAGUAACCUACCCCAGACUCUGGAAUAAGCGCUGGAAACGGCGUCUAAUACCGGAUAUGAGACGGAGUCGCAUGACUACCGUCUGGAAAGUUUUUUCGGUCUGGGAUGGACUCGCGGCCUAUCAGCUUGUUGGUGAGGUAAUGGCUCACCAAGGCGACGACGGGUAGCCGGCCUGAGAGGGCGAUCGGCCACACUGGGACUGAGACACGGCCCAGACUCCUACGGGUGGCAG